AAAGUCGUAACAAGGUUUCCGUAGGUGAACCUGCGGAAGGAUCAUUAUUGAAUUAAUAAAAGUGGGCUUUCUUUUAGUUGGCUGAUGCUGAUGUUUCCGUCAAACGAAACAUAUCUUUGUGCUCGCCGACGGAGGGGUUCAUUUUUUAUUACCUUCUUUUCCACCUGUGAACUUUUGUAGAUGUUGAAGAUCGCCUCUCAAGCAAUUCGUAAGAAUUGAUUGGUUUGGAGUUUGCGGGCGUCAUUAAGUUGAUGUCGGCUUUCUCUGUUGGUCUUCACGUCUAUUUUACAUAUACCCUUAUUUCAGUUUAGAAGGACAUGAUUGGGCUUUUAUGCCUAUAAAUCAAUUAUACAACUUUCAGCAACGGAUCUCUUGGCUCUC
rnacentral:misc_RNA from 1 species